rnacentral:rRNA from 1 species
GAUGAACGCUGGCGGCGUGCCUAAUACAUGCAAGUCGAGCGAACAGACGAGGAGCUUGCUCCUCUGACGUUAGCGGCGGACGGGUGAGUAACACGUGGAUAACCUACCUAUAAGACUGGGAUAACUUCGGAAAACCGGAGCUAAUACCGGAUAAUAUAUUGAACCGCAUGGUUCAAUAGUGAAAGACGGUUUUGCUGUUACUUAUAGGUGGAUCCGCGCCGCAUUAGCUUGUUGGUAAGGUAACGGCUUACCAAGGCAACAAUGCGGAGCCGACCUGAGAGGGAGAACGGCCACAGUGAAACAGAGACACGGUCCAGAAUCCAACGGAAGGCAGCAGUAGGGAAUCUUCCGCAGUGGGCGAAAGCCUGACGGAGCAACGCCGCGUGAGUGAUGAAGGUCUUCGGAUCGUAAAACUCUGUUAGUAUGAAAGAACAAAUGUGUAAGUAACUAUGCACGUCUUGACGGUACCUAAUCAGAAAGCCACGGCUAACUACGUG